rnacentral:rRNA from 1 species
CCCUGGGGGCAGCAGUGAGGAAUAUUUGUCAAUGGGCGUAAGCCUGAACCAGCCAAGUCGCGUGAGGGAUGAAGGUUCUAUGGAUCGUAAACCUCUUUUAUAAGGGAAUAAAGGGUGGGACGUGUCUUAUUUUGUAUGUACCUUAUGAAUAAGGAUCGGCUAACUCCGUGCCAGCAGCCGCGGUAAUACGGAGGAUCCGAGCUUUAUCCGGAUUUAUUGGGUUUAAAGGGUGCGUGGGCGGCCUUUUAAGUCAGCGGUGAAAGUCGGUGGCUCAACCAUAGAAUUGCCGUUGAAACUGGGGGGCUUGAGUAUGUUUGAGGCAGGCGGAAUGCGUGGUGUAGCGGUGAAAUGCUUAGAUAUCACGCAGAACCCCGAUUGCGAAGGCAGCCUGCCAAGCCAUGACUGACGCUGAUGCACGAAAGCGUGGGGAUCAAACAGGAUUAGAUACCCUUGUAGUC